rnacentral:rRNA from 1 species
AUACGUAGGGGGCGAGCGUUGUCCGGAAUGAUUGGGCGUAAAGGGCGCGUAGGCGGCCCGGUAAGUCUGGAGUGAAAGUCCUGCUUUCAAGGUGGGAAUUGCUUUGGAUACUGCCGCGCUUGAGUGCAGGAGAGGUUAUCGGAAUUCCCGGUGUAGCGGUGAAAUGCGUAGAGAUCGGGAGGAACACCAGUGGCGAAGGCGACUUACUGGACUGUAACUGACGCUGAGGCGCGAAAGUGUGGGGAGCAAACAGGAUUAGAUACCCUGGUAGUCCACACUGUAAACGAUGAAUGCUAGGUGUAGGGGGUAUCGACCCCUUCUGUGCCGCAGUCAACACAAUAAGCAUUCCGCCUGGGGAGUACGGCCGCAAGGUUGAAACUCAAAUGAAUUGACGGGG